rnacentral:rRNA from 1 species
UACGUAGGGUGCGAGCGUUGUCCGGAAUUAUUGGGCGUAAAGAGCUCGUAGGCGGCUUGUCACGUCGGAUGUGAAAGACCGGGGCUUAACCCCGGUUCUGCAUUCGAUACGGGCUAGCUAGAGUGUGGUAGGGGAGAUCGGAAUUCCUGGUGUAGCGGUGAAAUGCGCAGAUAUCAGGAGGAACACCGGUGGCGAAGGCGGAUCUCUGGGCCAUUACUGACGCUCAUGCACGAAAGCGUGGGGAGCAAACAGG